rnacentral:rRNA from 1 species
GAUGAACGCUAGCUACAGGCUUAACACAUGCAAGUCGAGGGGCAGCAUUUCAGUUUGCUUGCAAACUGGAGAUGGCGACCGGCGCACGGGUGAGUAACACGUAUCCAACCUGCCGAUAACUCGGGGAUAGCCUUUCGAAAGAAAGAUUAAUACCCGAUGGUAUAAUCAGACCGCAUGGUCUUGUUAUUAAAGAAUUUCGGUUAUCGAUGGGGAUGCGUUCCAUUAGGCAGUUGGUGAGGUAACGGCUCACCAAACCUUCGAUGGAUAGGGGUUCUGAGAGGAAGGUCCCCCACAUUGGAACUGAGACACGGUCCAAACUCCUACGGGAGGCAGCAGUGAGGAAUAUUGGUCAAUGGGCGCAGGCCUGAACCAGCCAAGUAGCGUGAAGGAUGACUGCCCUAUGGGUUGUAAACUUCUUUUAUAUGGGAAUAAAGUUUUCCACGUGUGGAAUUUUGUAUGUACCAUAUGAAUAAGGAUCGGCUAACUCCGUGCCAGCAGCCGCGGUAAUACGGAGGAUCCGAGCGUUAUCCGGAUUUAUUGGGUUUAAAGGGAGCGUAGGUGGACAGUUAAGUCAGUUGUGAAAGUUUGCGGCUCAACCGUAAAAUUGCAGUUGAUACUGGCUGUCUUGAGUACAGUAGAGGUGGGCGGAAUUCGUGGUGUAGCGGUGAAAUGCUUAGAUAUCACGAAGAACUCCGAUUGCGAAGGCAGCUCACUGGACUGCAACUGACACUGAUGCUCGAAAGUGUGGGUAUCAAACAGGAUUAGAUACCCUGGUAGUCCACACAGUAAACGAUGAAUACUCGCUGUUUGCGAUAUACAGUAAGCGGCCAAGCGAAAGCAUUAAGUAUUCCACCUGGGGAGUACGCCGGCAACGGUGAAACUCAAAGGAAUUGACGGGGGCCCGCACAAGCGGAGGAACAUGUGGUUUAAUUCGAUGAUACGCGAGGAACCUUACCCGGGCUUAAAUUGCAUUUGAAUAUAUUGGAAACAGUAUAGCCGUAAGGCAAAUGUGAAGGUGCUGCAUGGUUGUCGUCAGCUCGUGCCGUGAGGUGUCGGCUUAAGUGCCAUAACGAGCGCAACCCUUAUCUUUAGUUACUAACAGGUCAUGCUGAGGACUCUAGAGAGACUGCCGUCGUAAGAUGUGAGGAAGGUGGGGAUGACGUCAAAUCAGCACGGCCCUUACGUCCGGGGCUACACACGUGUUACAAUGGGGGGUACAGAAGGCAGCUACCUGGUGACAGGAUGCUAAUCCCAAAAGCCUCUCUCAGUUCGGAUCGAAGUCUGCAACCCGACUUCGUGAAGCUGGAUUCGCUAGUAAUCGCGCAUCAGCCAUGGCGCGGUGAAUACGUUCCCGGGCCUUGUACACACCGCCCGUCAAGCCAUGAAAGCCGGGGGUACCUGAAGUACGUAACCGCAAGGAGCGUCCUAGGGUAAAACUG